rnacentral:rRNA from 1 species
CAGUAGCCGCGGUAAUACGUAGGGUGCAAGCGUUAAUCGGAAUUACUGGGCGUAAAGCGUGCGCAGGCGGUUUGUUAAGACAGAUGUGAAAUCCCCGGGCUCAACCUGGGAACUGCAUUUGUGACUGGCAAGCUAGAGUGUGGCAGAGGGGGGUGGAAUUCCGCGUGUAGCAGUGAAAUGCGUAGAUAUGCGGAGGAACACCGAUGGCGAAGGCAGCCCCCUGGGCCAACACUGACGCUCAUGCACGAAAGCGUGGGGAGCAAACAGGAUUAGAGACCCCCGUAGUCCCUGUCUCUUAUAU